rnacentral:rRNA from 1 species
GAUGAACGCUAGCGGCAGGCCUAACACAUGCAAGUCGAGGGGCAGCACAGAAACAGCAAUGUUUUGGUGGCGACCGGCGGACGGGUGCGUAACGCGUAUGCAACCUACCUUUAACAGGGGGAUAACGGAGAGAAAUUUCAACUAAUACCCCAUAACAUCGAUCAAGGCAUCUUGAUUGGUUGAAAACUCCGGUGGUUAAAGAUGGGCAUGCGUUGUAUUAGGUAGUUGGUGAGGUAAUGGCUCACCAAGCCUACGAUACAUAGGGGGACUGAGAGGUUAGCCCCCCACACUGGUACUGAGACACGGGCCAGACUCCUACGGGAGGCAGCAGUGAGGAAUAUUGGUCAAUGGGGGCAACCCUGAACCAGCCAUGCCGCGUGCAGGAAGACGGCUCUAUGAGCUGUAAACUGCUUUUAAACAGGGAUAAAGCACAGUAUGUAUACUGUGUUGAAGGUACUGUAAGAAUAAGGAUCGGCUAACUCCGUGCCAGCCGCCGCCGUAA